AUUUGUGCCAUGACUGAAGUUUGUACUACUCGUGUAAUGUAGUAACAAGAAAGAGUAGAAUUAUGUUUAUGAGAGGUAUGGUUUGGUGAGAUUAUGUUGGUGGUUUAUAUAGAGAUGAUGGUGGUUGGGAAUUGAUUAAUGAAAUAAAUUUCCUUGAAUGAAGUUCAAUGCCUCGGUCAAAGAAUUUGAAAAUGGUUGAAAAAGACUUUAAU
rnacentral:lncRNA from 1 species